AGAGUUUUAGAAGUUUUUUGUAACAACUUAGGCCAAAAAAUCAGUAAUGAGAAAAUUAGAAUCUUUUUCUCAGAUAAUGUGAAAAAUACAGUUAGAAAAGAAAUCAGCGAGGCUCUACAAUUCUUAAGGACUAAUGAUCUCAAAAAAUAAUUUGGCGUGCCUCUCUUACACUCUAGAAUCAAUAAGGAUACAUACAAAGAGGUUAUUGAUAAGUUGAAUAGAAGACUCAAUAAUUGGAAGGUCUUGUGUCUAUCCUUUGUUGGGAGAACAAUUCUGAUAAAAUUUGUCUUUUCUUCUAUCCUACUUAUACUAUACAAACUGCUAUUUUACCUGUUGCUAUUUGUGAUAUGAUUCAUCGUAAAUACAAGAAUUUUUUCUAGAAAAAAAUACAACAAACAAAGAAGAUUCAUUUGCUUAAUCAGAACAUUGUCUCGAAACUGAAAGCUACACGAGAUCUAAGGAUCAUACAUGAAAAUAAACUCAACCAUGCUUUCAUGAUGAAGAUAGGAUGGGACUUGAUGAAAAAAAGGAAUAACAUGUGGGUGAGGGUUCUGAAGUCAAAAUACAAAUAUGAGACAAACAUUAUUCCUAACAUUAAUGGAAGAAAGAAGGACUCUAAUAUUUAGAAGGGAGUCUGCUCGGCCUGGAACGAUGUGGAGAAGAGUAUGAUAUGGCAUAUAUGAAAUGAUGAAUAGAUUAAGUUUUGGGAGCACUUUAGGUGAUUGAGAUGUGAGGAAAUUGAAGGAGUCAGGAGUGGCUAUUGGAUCAGUUAGUUAACAUAGUCAACAGCUUGUCAACCCCGUCUCCUUGGAAUAGCCCAGACAACAUUGCAUGGAGUCUAUCCUUGGGUUGGACUUUCAACUUGAAAACUGCCUACCAAUCACUCAUGGACGCACGCAUGCCUCAGGAUCAACUUUUCAAACUUGCUUGGAGCUGGAAAAUCCCGGAGAAAAUCAGAUUAUUCAUUUGCUAACUGCACAAGAAGCCCUUCUUACCUACGCGGAAAGGAAAAGAAGACAUUUAGUAGAUUCCUCUCAAUGCCUGAGAUGUAAUUUAAGCGACAAAAUUUCCUUUCAUACACUUCACGACUAUCCUUUUGCUAGGAUAAUCUGGCAAGGUUUGCACAAUCGAAUCCACAUUGGAGAUUUCUUCAUUUUGAAUAAUCAAGAUUGACUCAUUACUAAUCUCUCUAGGAGGGAUGAAUGGUGUGUCUUUUUGG